rnacentral:rRNA from 1 species
AAAUACGGAGGAAAAGAAACCAACUGGGAUUACCUUAGUAACGGCGAGUGAAGCGGUAAAAGCUCAAAUUUGAAAUCUGGUACUUUCAGUGCCCGAGUUGUAAUUUGUAGAAUUUGUCUUUGAUUAGGUCCUUGUCUAUGUUCCUUGGAACAGGACGUCAUAGAGGGUGAGAAUCCCGUUUGGCGAGGAUACCUUUUCUCUGUAAGACUUUUUCGAAGAGUCGAGUUGUUUGGGAAUGCAGCUCAAAGUGGGUGGUAAAUUCCAUCUAAAGCUAAAUAUUGGCGAGAGACCGAUAGCGAACAAGUACAGUGAUGGAAAGAUGAAAAGAACUUUGAAAAGAGAGUGAAAAAGUACGUGAAAUUGUUGAAAGGGAAGGGCAUUUGAUCAGACAUGGUGUUUUUUGCAUGCACUCGCCUCUCGUGGGCUUGGGCCUCUCAAAAAUUUCACUGGGCCAACAUCAAUUCUGGCAGCAGGAUAAAUCAUUAAGAAUGUAGCUACUUCGGUAGUGUUAUAGCUUUUUGGAAUACUGUUAGCCGGGAUUGAGGACUGCGCUUCGGCAAGGAUGUUGGCAUAAUGGUUAAAUGCCGCCCGUCUUGAA